rnacentral:rRNA from 1 species
GGAGUCUGGGCCGUGUCUCAGUCCCAAUGUGGCCGUUCAUCCUCUCAGACCGGCUACCGAUCGUCGCCUUGGUAGGCCGUUACCCCACCAACCAGCUAAUCGGACGCAGGCCCAUCCCCCGGCGAUAGCUUAUAAAUAGAGGCCAUCUUUCAAAUCCGUACCAUGCGGCACAGACUUCGUAUCCGGUAUUAGCACCCCUUUCGGAGUGUUGUCCCCGGCCGGAGGGCAGGUUGCCUACGCGUUACUCACCCGUUCGCCACUAGGAUUCUGCCGAAACAAAAUCCCCGUUCGACUUGCAUGUGUUAGGCACGCCGCCAGCGUUCGUCCUCGAGCCACUGAUCAAACUACU